UCAUCCGCAAUGGACGAAAGUCUGACGGAGCAACGCCGCGUGAGUGAUGAAGGUUUUCGGAUCGUAAAACUCUGUUGUUAGGGAAGAANNAGUACCGUUCGAAUAGGGCGGUACCUUGACGGUACCUAACCAGAAAGCCCCGCCUAACUACGUGCCAGCAGCCGCGGUAAUACGUAGGUGGCAAGCGUUGUCCGGAAUUAUUGGGCGUAAAGCGCGCGCAGGCGGGUUCUUAAGUCUGAUGUGAAAGCCCCCGGCUCAACCGGGGAGGGUCAUUGGGAACUGGGGAACUUGAGUGCAGAAGAGGAGAGUGGAAUUCCACGUGUAGCGGGGAAAUGCGUAGAGAUGUGGAGGAACACCAGUGGCGAAGGCGACUCUCUGGUCUGUAACUGACGCUGAGGCGCGAAAGCGUGGGGAGCGAACAGG
rnacentral:rRNA from 1 species